AUUCCCAGUGAUUUACUACACCAAUUGAUGCACCGUUUGUUGCUACUUAAGCCUCUUUCACUCCUCUUCAUUUCCCCUCAAACCACACAGACCGAGAGCCUCCAGGCUGCUCAAAUUUUGCCUCGCAAUUCUGCGGUACCGUUGCAUUAAAUCGUCGAUUGCGCGCUAUCUUCGUCCGUGAGCACGUCCGCGGGACAGUUUUCGGGCGAGCGAUUUCCGGCGAAACAGUGCACCUCGACGUCCGCCACUUCUUCAUCGAUUUCGUCUUGUCAAACAGCGCCGUGGUUUGCUUCACCAUCGGCAGAGAUCUUCGAGGAAGCUCCACGGACAUCAACCAUCGAAAGUCAACUACACCUAGCUGUCUCUGUUCCCGUGGAUUGUGGUUGUGCUAAUUACAACGAGUGUUUUUGCGAAGAGUGUACCAACUCCUCCUCUCACCAAGA